rnacentral:lncRNA from 1 species
CUGAAAUGUAAAGGACACUGAAGCCUUCAUUUAUUUGUACUAAUAUGAUGGUGUUAUAUACUGCAUCAUUAGCUAGUUACGUUUUUCUGACCUGACUUCUCUGUCUUUGUAGGUAUUUAUUUGUUACCUUUUAAUCUUGUGUAUCUGAAUUAGUUAAUAGUUAUCCACCGAAUAACUAUGCCAAGCAACUAGGAAAGAAUGUUUAUUUGAUUUCCCCUUAUAGGGGAAGAGUGGACUGGGAACAAAAAUGUAUGGGCCAGAAGGCCCUGGGUUGUCAUUCACUCACUUUCUUAUUCCUCUCAUGAGCUGUAUUUGAGUAUAAGUAUUUUCCAGUGCUGAUGUACUUGAUUAUGUCAUUACUUUCCAUGUCUUCCUUUGAGUUGAAAGCCUGCUAGGAACUUGUAUAAAAUUCAUUAAUACAAUUUUCAGAAUAAGAACCCCAAAACUCAGUAUCUUAUACUUCAGUGCUACUCAAAUUAUUACUGGAAUCCAAGUCUCACUAAGUAGGACAUAUUUUUAUAAAAUGUUUCUCUGAAUCUUAAAAUUAACUUUUUGAGAGGCAAGAGUUCUUUGGGAUAUACCACAUUUUUAGAUUUUUUUUUUUUUGAAAGGAAAAUAAGAUAUACUAGUUAAUGAUUUUGAUGUUAGUAUUUUAAGGUACACCAGUGGCCCCAAACCUGACUGUUCAUUAGAAUUACUCUGAAGAGCUUUUAAGGUACAGAUUCCUGAAACCUACCACUAGAAAAUUUUCAUUGUGUCUAGAAUGGGACCUGGGAAUUCUGUGUUUUUAAAGCUUUUCCUAGUGAUACUAAUAGUCAGAUUUGGGAAAUAUGUUUUAAUAAUGGGACAGUGGUUUGAGAGUAGGCAACAAAAUGAAAGUUUACCAGAGCUUUCUCUGGUAGUUAUUUUCCCCCUUUUAUUUCUUUUUUAAAACUGGGACCAGAUGUCACAGAACUUAAGAUAAUAUGGAGGAAUAAGACUGAGGCUAUUGUUCAUUAUCAUUUUUGUCUUUCACACUUUUUUAAAAGUUUGCAUUUCUAGGACUUGGAUAGUUGAUCAUAAAUAUACAGCUGAAGGACAUGACCCUGAAUGAGACCAUUAUAUAUAUAACUGUAAAAUAUUUCACUAUUUUUUUAUUUUAUAAAUCUUUGUAGAAAUAAGCAAUGAAAUACUACUUUCAUUUUUUGAAAUGGGAUUUUUCAAGGUAGUGUCCUUUGGCAUUAAGGUAGGGGGGAGCUAAUAUUCUCUCUACCUGUUUCCACAUGAAUCAGUAUAAAAUCAUGGACAUUUAAAAAUCUCAGUUUUUACUUAUGUACUAUGCAGUGUAGCUGUGAACAAGUAAUUAGGUUUAGUUUUCUCUUCAAAUGCCCUGAUCACCCUACCUCACAGGGUUGUUGUGGGGGUAAAUAAAACUUUUAUGGAAGCAC